rnacentral:rRNA from 1 species
UGAGGAAUAUUGCGCAAUGGACGAAAGUCUGACGCAGCCAUGCCGCGUGCAGGAAGACUGCCCUAUGGGUUGUAAACUGCUUUUAUAUAGGAAGAAACCCCGAUACGUGUAUCGGCUUGACGGUACUAUAUGAAUAAGGACCGGCUAACUCCGUGCCAGCAGCCGCGGUAAUACGGAGGGUCCAAGCGUUAUCCGGAUUUAUUAGGUCUAAAGGGUCCGCAGGCGGGAUUUUAAGUCAGUGGUGAAAGCCUACAGCUCAACUGUAGAACUGCCAUUGAUACUGAUAUCCUUGAGUGUGGUUGAAGUGGGCGGAAUAUGUCAUGUAGCGGUGAAAUGCAUAGAUAUGACAUAGAACACCAAUUGCGAAGGCAGCUCACUAAGCCAUAACUGACGCUGAGGGACGAAAGCGUGGGGAGCGAACAGG